GAUGAACGCUGGCGGCGUGCCUAAUACAUGCAAGUCGAGCGAACAGACGAGGAGCUUGCUCCUCUGACGUUAGCGGCGGACGGGUGAGUAACACGUGGAUAACCUACCUAUAAGACUGGGAUAACUUCGGGAAACCGGAGCUAAUACCGGAUAAUAUAUUGAACCGCAUGGUUCAAUAGUGAAAGACGGUUUUGCUGUCACUUAUAGAUGGAUCCGCGCCGCAUUAGCUAGUUGGUAAGGUAACGGCUUACCAAGGCGACGAUGCGUAGCCGACCUGAGAGGGUGAUCGGCCACACAGGAACUGAGACACGGUCCAGACUCCUACGGGAGGCAGCAGUAGGGAAUCUUCCGCAAUGGGCGAAAGCCUGACGGAGCAACGCCGCGUGAGUGAUGAAGGUCUUCGGAUCGUAAAACUCUGUUAUUAGGGAAGAACAAAUGUGUAAGUAACUAUGCACGUCUUGACGGUACCUAAUCAGAAAGCCACGGCUAACUACGUG
rnacentral:rRNA from 1 species